rnacentral:pre_miRNA from 1 species
UAUUAAAAAUUUUAUCUAUUUCUACUAUUAAAAAUAUUUUUUAGCUGACAGAAUAAUUAAAUAGUUACACGUGACAUACAGGGACUGGUUUUUAACAGUAGAAAUGGAUGGAAUUUAACA